rnacentral:rRNA from 1 species
UAAUACGGAGGGUGCGAGCGUUAUCCGGAAUCACUGGGUUUAAAGGGUGCGUAGGCGGUUUGAUAAGUCAGUGGUGAAAGGCCGUCGCUUAACGAUGGGACUGCCAUUGAUACUGUUAGACUUGAAUCAGGAUGAGGUUGGCGGAAUGUGGCAUGUAGCGGUGAAAUGCUUAGAUAUGCCAUGGAAUACCGAUUGCGAAGGCAGCUGACUGGACCUGAAUUGACGCUGAGGCACGAAAGCGUGGGGAGCGAACAGG